rnacentral:rRNA from 1 species
UACCCGCCCAACGGAUCGGCCCCGAAAAUUGAUGGCGCUCGAACGCAACCCUCGAACCCCGCCGACGGAGGCUAGGGGAGGCCCCGUCGAGUAGGCGGACGCGCGGGUCGCUUCGACGCUCCCGCGCGAGCGGGGGCGGAGCGGCCCGUGGUGCAGAUCUUGGUGGUAGUAGCGAUCACCCAGGCGAGAACCCUGAGGGCCGAAGUGGAGAAGGGUUUCUCGAGAACGGCACUCGCUCGAGAGUUAGUCGAUCCUAAGCUGCCGGCGGCAGCCACGAAACGGUCGAUCGGGCGCGAGCCCGGCAGCCACGACCGGGCAGCGAAAGGGAAUUGGGAACCUCCUUCCCAAACCCGGAACCGGAACGAGGGCGGCGACGCGAACGAAACGGCCGCGGAUUUUCAUGGGACGACCGCGG